GCCCCUCCCCAGCUCGGCCAUCAGAAUGGCAUUGCCGUGGCGACGUUUGUAAAAAGGCCAGGCGGGCGCGCGGGCUGCGGGCCUUCGCCUGGAGACUCCGCGGGAGGGCGGCAGAGCGGAGGUCAGGGCUCUAGGCGGAGGACGAGGCGUGGGCUUCUUCCUCAGGCCAGGGAAAGCAGAGAAUAUGAAAGCCUAUCUAAAGAGUGCAGAAGGCUAUUUUGUCCUGAAUAAAAGCACUACGAUUGGAAGGCAUGAAAAUUCAGACCUUGUUUUAGAGUUUCCUGAGUUUCUGGGAAGGCCUGGUUUCCCCAAAGGAACGAUUUCUGGUAGAAGUCUGAAGGUCUGACCCAAGAAAAAUAAUCCAGUAUAGCCAAUGAAUUGAGGACAAGAAGUUUUCCAAUCAGCUGACAAGACAACCAGGAGGCUGGCUAAACCCUGCUUCCCACCACAAGAUUGCUGCAGCUGAGAGAUCCUAGGACACAUGACAAAGGCCAGCAGAAGCAAUGCCUCUUAUUAAAUACCUGAUUGUACAGUAAGCUUAACUUCUACUUGGAAAUACUGCUUUGGAAGAGAAAAUUAAGAAAAAAGCAUCAUUAAAAAAAAGACAAGGUUGGGCUUCCCUGGUGGCGCAGUGGUUGAGAGUCCGCCUGCCGAUGCAGGGGACACGGGUUCGUGCCCCGGUCCGGGAAGAUCCCACAUGCCGCGGAGCGGCUGGAGCCGUGAGCCAUGGCCGCUGAGCCUGCGUGUCCGGAGCCUGUGCUCUGCAACGGGAGAGGCCACAACAGUGAGAGGCCUGCGUACCGAAAAAAAAAAAAAAAAAAAAAAGACAAGGCUACUCGCAGAUCUAACAUGCUAAGCUUUAACUUAGUACGUUCUUAGGACUGAUGUUUUCCAAGGAACAAACUUUCUUGUUUCCUGUGUACAAAAAGUGAGAAAAAAUAAAAAUAGUGGUAUCUUCACAGUUGAGUUCUUAACAUAUUUUCUGAUAUAUGUAAAAAGAGAAAAAUUGGCAAAAUGAGUACCAACAUUUUUAAAAAUAAUAAUUAAGCCUAAAUCCCUGGAUUUACCAAUUUUAUAAAAUAAGAAAGUAACAUUUUAUAAAAUACAAUUUUAUGAAAUAUGAUUUUAUAAAAUUUGUUUAGCUAAGUAACAAAUGAUUUGCCCAAAAAACAGAUUUAGCAGGUGGAGUCCAGGGGGCACAUUCUACAAAAUAAGUUUAUUGACACUGUAAAGGGUUACUAGCAUAAAAUUGUGGUGGGAAUAAAAAGGGCAGUGACCUUCCUCCUGAAGUUUAGGAGUGAUCCCUGAAUUGAGAGAUAUCUGAGUUGAAGUGGUCACUGGAAACAAAUGGUAGAGACAAAUCACAGAGAGCAGACUGUAUCAAUUCCAGCUUCUGGACUCAGAGAAGGAAGGAAGAGCUUCAGAUUUCAUUGCAGAGAAUGAGGCUGAGAAACUUUAAAAUCAGAUGCUUUUUCCCAGAUCCAGGGGGCCAGCUAAUGCACAAAAAUGCUUAAAGCCACAUAGGUAUGUCACCUUUAUUUCCUAGAGAAGAUGUUAGCAUUUUCUAAAUCCUCAUCUACCGUGCCUGGCAUGCAUUAUUUUAUAGCUUUCUGGAAGUUUCAUCAGCACCACUGGUAUAUCUGUAGUACAAUGUGUCUGUGGAGAGUACAGAAUGCAGGUCCAGGCUGGGGGCAACGGACUCUUCUAGCUACCACAGUGAGUGGUGCCCCUGCAAACCUGAGUAAGGAAGACAACUUGCCUUUGGGUGGGUAGUGUUACAAUCUGCAUGUCUAGGGGCACAAAUGUAAAGACCGACCCUGUUCUGGGAAUGAUUAUGAUUCUGACUGACCUCAAAGGGGUAAUUAUGAAACCCCUGGAUCAUCAGGAUCUGGAUGUUCCCUACUUUUUCCAUGGUGUGAUCAUGACCGAAAGUGUGGCUGUAGAUAUCUGGGAACAUUUCCAGAAAUGUCCUCCUGUAGGAGUUAAUUAUAAAGUAAAUGUGUAUAAAAGAGAAAAUAAUAUUGAAACCUAUCAAGGGGAGUAGAUCUUAAGGGUUAAUAUUGUAGAUGGACUACUUUGGAAAAAAUCUUUUUCCCUUGGAGUAUUAAGAAGUCAUCGCAUAAUUGCCAUCUCUCCACAUUUUGUUCUAGAGUGCCUGGUUUAUUGAUAUCAGU